rnacentral:lncRNA from 1 species
GGUGGAGGAGGUGGAGGAGGUGGAGGAGGUGGAGGGUUGCUGGAGGGCUUGUCCUGGCAGCGCUGUUCAGGUGGGGACCAAAACAAAGCCACAGACACCCCUCAGGACACGGAUUCCCACCACAAACAUCUCAGUUAGCUUCUGCUGAGAAAUGUGAUGGCCCCAGCUCUGCUGUGGGGGGCUCAGGAAGGGCAGGGACACCCAGGGCUCGUUUUGCCUCCCAGUGCAUGAAUCCUCCCCGAGCUGCCCCAUCAGUGGGGGACACUCUGGAGCAGGGAAGCUUUGAAGAACUGAAUCCCAGAGAUCUUGGCCUUACAGCCUGGAGAUUAGAAAAGUUUCCUCCUUAGAUGAUCUCUUCAUCUUCCACUCGGCGAAGGAUUUCCCAGAUUGGCACCUGGAUGAUGAGCAGGGAUGACAGGUUUAGAAUAAAACACCCUGAUGGUUUCUGGGUGAAACAGCCAUCAGCUAAUCAGAAAAUCAAUUCUGCUGUUGACCAUCGUGAAAGAGAAGAAAUCCUCGGGAAUCCUCGGAUCCACCAGUGCCAGCAGAAAGGGGAACGUUCCUCUCGUGACAACCACGGUGGGGCUGAUUCAACCACCAGAAAAACUCCUGCAAGGAUAAAACCAAGUGGUGACCAGACUCUGAAAUCAUCUUCCUGGCAUGAUCCUUCCGGAAAGGAACGAGGAGGAACCUCCGCAAUGACCUGCUGGUGGCAGCUGAUUCCAUCACCAACACCAUGUCCUCCCUGGUGA